CCCUUAGACGUUCUGGGCCGCACGCGCGCUACACUGACAAAGGCAACGAGCUACUCUUCACCGAAAGGUGUGGGUAAUCUUUUGAAACUUUGUCGUGCUGGGGAUAGAUCCUUGCAAUUUUUGAUCUUAAACGAGGAAUUCCUAGUAGGCGCAAGUCAUCAACUUGCGUUGAUUACGUCCCUGCCCUUUGUACACACCGCCCGUCGCUACUACCGAUUGAAUGGUUUAGUGAGGCCUUCGGAUCCGCGACUCGUUUGUGGAGAAGUUGGACAAACUCAGUCAUUUAGAGGAAGUAAAAGUCGUAACA
rnacentral:rRNA from 1 species